CUCUAUUACCCUCUCGCGAGCCCUGACCAGCAAAUCAUCUACCGUCGGGUGCUAUCACCACCGCGAAAUCGAGAUUUAGAGAGGGGAGAUCCGCCGCUAGUGAGCUCGCAAAUCGCGGUUACCCAGGUCUUGGCAUGGUGUUCUGGUGUGGUGGCACGGUGCCUAGGAGCCAUGGCUGCCAUCCCGCCGCUGGACCAUUGGCGCUUGGGCGAUUGCUCGCCGGGCUUGGGAAUUACCGUUGUGCCAUGCUAUGUCGGGGACCAAGCUCACCUCAAUCAAAUCACCGGUGAAGAGCAGGUGGCCCAGGAGGAGGACUACUAUGAGGAGUGUUGGGGGUCUUCUUCCCUGCCAAAGGUCCUCAAGGAAAAAACACCUUCGGACAAGACAAUACAAAGGCAUACACGACAUGAUGACACGGAUGGAAGCCGAAGCUAUGGCUGAAGGAGCUUCGGCUUAGUAAUAUGACGAAGCCAAAGGUCGUCACCGACUCAAGGGAAAAAGACUGUUUAGUCCUUGAUCACUCACAUUAUGAUUGCAUGUAAAUGUUGGGGACAUAAAUGUAAUUAUUUCCGGGCUGUGUCCCGCGCUUAUAAAUAGAUGAAUAGUACCCCCGUACUGUUCACGCUGGAUUGUAAUCUCUCUCAUGCACCAUCUUUGCAUUCUCAUCUUCUAGCGAACCGAAGGUACAAUUGUAUUAAAUACCAUUAAUGUCAAUUCUUACA